CAGCCGCCGCGGGAACACGGAGGGUGCAAGCGUUAUCCGGAUUUAUUGGGUUUAAAGGGUCCGUAGGCGGAUCUGUAAGUCAGUGGUGAAAUCUCACAGCUUAACUGUGAAACUGCCAUUGAUACUGCAGGUCUUGAGUAAAUUUGAAGUGGCUGGAAUAAGUAGUGUAGCGGUGAAAUGCAUAGAUAUUACUUAGAACACCAAUUGCGAAGGCAGGUCACUAAGAUUUAACUGGCGCUGAUGGACGAAAGCGUGGGGAGCGAACAGGAUUAGAUAUCCCGGUAGUCCCUGUCUCUUAUAC
rnacentral:rRNA from 1 species